rnacentral:rRNA from 1 species
AUUGAACGCUGGCGGCAUGCUUUACACAUGCAAGUCGAACGGCAGCGCGGGCUUCGGCCUGGCGGCGAGUGGCGAACGGGUGAGUAAUACAUCGGAACGUGCUCAGUAGUGGGGGAUAGCUCGGCGAGAGCCGGAUUAAUACCGCAUACGACCUGAGGGUGAAAGCGGGGGAUCUUCGGACCUCGCGCUAUUGGAGCGGCCGAUGGCAGAUUAGCUAGUUGGUGGGGUAAAGGCCUACCAAGGCGACGAUCUGUAGCUGGUCUGAGAGGACGACCAGCCACACUGGGACUGAGACACGGCCCAGACUCCUACGGGAGGCAGCAGUGGGGAAUUUUGGACAAUGGGCGAAAGCCUGAUCCAGCAAUGCCGCGUGUGUGAUGAAGGCCUUCGGGUUGUAAAGCACUUUUGGCGGGAACGAAAAGGACUGUGCCAAUACCACGGUUCGAUGACGGUACCCGCAGAAUAAGCACCGGCUAACUACGUG